rnacentral:lncRNA from 1 species
GACGAGACGCCUAGCUUCGGCCUGAAAAACGCAGAGGAGGAGGAAGAGCCCGAACCGUUUCUCAUAGCCACGUAACAAUCCAUGCCCCACCCAGUCUUGGCAUCGCUCACCGUUCCGUUAUUACUCCACGCGCCUUCGAUUCUAUCUAGGUUCCCGCACAGGACCAUUUCCUCCUUAUCGUACACCUCGAAAUCGACGCACCCCGUGACGCGCACCGCCUCCGUGCUGACGUAAGUCACCUCCGACGAUUCCCGGUCCACUCUGUCGCGUCGGAGUUUUAGAGACGCCGUCUGCAGGGGAGGAACGCGGACGCCGUUGACCUCGAGAGAAGCGCCGGUUUCGCGGCGAGGGUGGCGGAGGGUGAGGGAGUCGGGGACGUUCUCAACGAAGCAGGGGGCGAUGCGGACGUAGAACAGACGAACCUCCAGCCACGCCGAUUGAGACAAUUGAACUGAUGCCGGCGACGCCGCGACGGCGGAGGCUUUCAUGUGGAAUGAUUUGGAUGAUGUACCCAAAGGAUCCGGAUGAUGAUGAUGAUGAUGAUGAUGAUCCCUCGAAAUCAUCGGUUCAAAUGGAUUGAUGACGAGAGAAUUCAAGGCGAUUGAUGAACGGAGAAAUGAAUUUUGUCGUUUUCGUUCGAGGUUAGGUUUUUGGGGUUUGAGAUAUAUAUUUUUCAAGGUAAAAAAAGGGUCAAAAUUAUAGUUUUUUGUUUGAAGACGCGGUAAAAACGGAGAGAUUGGUCAAAGGAGAAACCGACAAGAUAAAAAAUACUCACUCUUACGAGGAUUAUCACGACACGCACGUGUGACAGUUUUGUUUGUUUGUUUUGAAUGCUAAUUAAUAUGAUAACUGGGCCACAAUUUCGUAUUCCUUUAAGUUUGGACUUGGGCCUCAUCAGAUGCUAUCAAUCGCAAAGACCCAUGAUCUGCACGUUGAAACUUGAAAUCAUCAUAGAAAACUCGCAGAAUAAGCAUGGAGUGUGAUACCGUCUGCCGUAGUGUUGUCUUUAGUAGUGUAAAUCAGUGUACGUAGUUAGUGUUUUCGUACGAUUAUAUUUACAUUCUAUAACAAAGUACGUUUCAUCAAUUUCUAUUUAUUUUAUUUUAUUAACAAUCUAUUUAACAAAGAGUGUAUAACUUCAGUUCCUGAUCCACGAAACUAGAGGAUAAUUAGUGGGGGCAUAAACUGGUUUUCAUUAGUUUAUGGGUGCACUAAACAGAGUUUUCAUAAUUAUUUAGCUAGUUUAUCUAGUUUUGCCUUGGAAAAUUUUGAAAUUACAAAAAAACAAUGGGUGCAUGUUCCUCUCUCUCAAUGCAACUAAGUGUAUAUAUAUGUAGCUAACUAUACCAAAAUUAUGCCAAUUUAGGUGUUUUUCGAGCGCAAAUUUAUGAUAAAACUUUAUGAAUGAUGAUGUUUCCGCGUUUACCAAACUUACUAAUGCGUGCCUGAAUUAUAAUGCGUUUCAUUUGCCAAAAGUUAAUGAUGUACGUAGUUCUGUUUUUUUUUUCUAGAUAAGGUCACCUUUUAUAUCUGCAAACCUAAUAUUAUAAUAAUGAUUCAUAAAGAAAUAUCAUUCUACUCAUUUGGAUCAUUGACCGUACCCCCAAAUCCUCUUUUAGUCACAGCAAUUAUAUUCUUCCCUAUACGUACUUUUCUAUAAUUUUAGAAAGAAAAAUUGUGACCCGUUGGAGCAUAUACCAUUAGGAGAUCACACACCAUUCAAUCUCAGAUCUUGUCGGAUAAAUCUGACCAGCUUUGGAUAUAUAUUUAUAGGCCGGUUGUAAUGUUUUCUUCUUCCUCCUCUUUUUGAUAACACCGAAAAGACCGGGGCUUGUCACUUCAUCAUCAAGUUUAGUAGGCGAACUUAAAUGAUUCCUAAGGCAUCAAAAACUAAUUACGUUCUACUUUUUUAUUAUAGAAUUUGCAGUUCAUGUUUAUGUCCCGUAACUUAAGAUCCAUGUCGGAGGUCUACUUAGUUGGUUUUACUUGUUUAAUUUGCAUCAUGCAGUAUGAUUUUGACUGUAGUUUAGAUUCUCAUUUGUUAGUUGAUCGGUUGAACUAAACAAAUGCAUUUCGUAACUUUUAAUCAUCAUUUAAUUCGUAGUCAGGAUUUACGCUGACGCUGGAUUAUAAUAAUGCUUUAAACAUUAAUUAACUGACGAUAUACUUUGUUUUUGCCUUAAUUUAUACUAGUCUUUUAGCAAAAAAAAAAAUUUAUACUAGUCUUCAGUUGUGUAUUGCAUUAAGAUCAAUCGUUGUUUUUUAUACAUGUACAGUUAUAAGGAAUCUAUACUCUCCCUAUCUAAUGUCCUUUUACGUAUUUCCAUAAAUGCAUUUGAAAAAGUCUUAUCGUUACCUAAGUAGCACGACGUCAUUUCUGAGACAAGUAAAGGGAGUAAACUAAGGCUUCAUUAGACCCGUAGUUAACAGUAACAAAAAUCUCUGCAUAUACCAUAUAUCUAUAUGUUUUUUAUAACUGUUAAAACCGCACCGCAGUUGAACCGCUUGUCCUACACCGGUUUAAUAAACCGCAGUUACCAUUGGAGCCUAAAAUGAAACGAGUUAGACCUUUAACGUCUUAUACGUAAUUUUAAAUGUCAAAACUAGCAAACCCAUUACUAGCGGCUGCAAGUACAAUAUUCAAUUUCAAACCAUCAACCAUUUAAAUUUGGUCAAACCAUAAAGCAAAGUAUUUUUGUCUAUAGAAUUAUCUUCUCGUCUAGAGUUUGCUAUAAAUGAAUGAAUAAAUGAUGAAGUGUUAAGAGGUUAUUACCCAAGUCCUCCUACUCCUAGGACCAGGAUUCAACGGCCCAGAUCGGAAGCUGAAGAUGGAAGCAUCGACGGGAUGCUAAAAGCUGAAUUUAAUCUCUUGAAUUUAUUAGAAGCCGACUUUUUUAAAUAACCAUAUCCCACUAUAAUAUCUUCUCAUUUGCUAAACCCGCAGUGUGCUAAAGCGCGACCCAAACACAAUCCAUUAUUACUAUUUUUGUUAGAAUUUUCGAAAAAUAUAAGAACCUAUAUAUCGUGGACGUAAAUUAUUUAAAAGAGAAAUUAAAUUAAUUUACGUGGGCGCACACGUGGAAAUUGUAGCUGUUUCCCACUACGCUUGUAGUUUCUGUAUUAAUUUAUUUUAUUAGAUUUUUGGCUGUGAGAAUAUUAUUUGUCUUUGUUUGGGGAAUCGAAUUCGUGUAGAACUGGGAAACUGAUGGUGGGAUAGUGAGGACUCAAUUAUUAGAUAAUUUUUGAAAUAUAGUAUAAAUUUCAGGAGAAAAAUCAAUCAUAGAAUUGUAGAUUUAGACAUAAUUUCAAAGAGUGAUAUUGUAAUAAAAUACACUAUAACAAAACUUUUGUUGUGUCUUCCUUUACAUAUUUACAAAGAAAAAAAAAACUGAAUAAACAACCAACAACCUUAUUGGAUAUUGCAACAUGUUUCUCGGCACCAUUGUAUUGUAUAAAAAGACAACUAGUAUAAAUUUAUUCUCGUCCAAAAAGAAAAAUACAUGAAUUAAAAAUAUAAUUAUAAAAUUUCAAGUUAGGAAUUUGGCCAUCUUUUAAACCUCAGGGACGGUGGAUUUUGGAAGCUUUGCAAUAAGUUGUGUGGUGGAGAAUCCAAAAAGAAGAAAGAGUAACCAAUAGAAGGGCUGAUCUCAUUGCUAGAAGUGUAACCAAAAAGCUGAGAACUCGAUCUUAUGUGGCAACAGGUGCUCCUGUGUGGCUCAGACAUAUCUUUGACAGUGAGAGAAGCUCCCAUCGGCGAUGCGGCUGAGAGGGACGUAUUCGACGCCAGCAACGCCGGCGAGUGAGUCCUGCUCGAGCGCACAAUCCUCCACACAGUUGAGUGUGACGACGAGAGGAGACGGCUGGUCACGAUGGGGCAUUGUCGCAGACGGACGGAUCUUGCUCAUCUUCUCCUUCUCGCUGCUACUCCCGAGGACUAAAGGACAUCUUAGAAAUAUUGGGAAUUAGGGUUGAAUCUUGUAAAUUCGCAACAAUACAGGGGCUAAACGUUGAAUUUAUAAAUAAUUUAAAGGGGUAUCCCAUACAUAUUUUCUUUUAAAUUCAACAGCAUUAGUCCGAAUCUACAUGCUGAUGCUCGCCGUAAUACGACGCCGUUCCAAGUUAACAGUAUAUACAUCAGCUUAUGACGUUUACAAUGCCAAAACAGACUACACAAGUGAAACAUGUACACUUCCUAUGUCGUAUUAUUUCUUCUUGACCAGGAAGAAAACACAAGCUCCAGAGUGUAGCAGCGACAACAAACACGAAGCAACAAAUAUUUGAAUAAAAACAAAAGCAUUUUGCAAGACGGGAACACUCACUCACUUGUGCACUGUGUUAUAUGAACAAAGCCGACUAUAAGCGAUGAAAAAACGAAAAAGAAGUCUAUACAGCUAUCUACCAAAAUUCUAUCUCCGCUUCUUUCUUUCUAUAACAUCUCGACAUGCCUCAGGUAGAUUGAUGAUCAGAAGAACCUCCUACGAAGGUUACUAGUAGUAGCAUGAUAUGAGCGCAUGAGCAAUCCAACUCCAAUGCCAACGCCAAGGCACAUCCCAAGGCCUAUCCCAACUCCAACUCUGACACCUGCAUUGAACCACGAGAGUUGACCAUCCUCAUCCACGUACAUCCCUUCAGGGUAGUACCUCAUCUUCAUCUCAGACUCAUCAUCAACUUCUGACUCCAUCAUCUGCAUUAAACCAAAAAUCAAAUCUCCACCCUAACUUAAGAAUCGUCAUGAACAAACUAUCAACACAGAAGCAUACUUUCUGUUGGCGGGGGAAUUCAUCAUCCCCAGUGGUAACAACGCCUUGCUCCUCGUCCUCCGGGAUAGCGUCGAGCGUCACGUGCCUGGCCACCUUCCUCCUCGGACUCGCCUGAAUGGUCUUAGUCAAGAUGACCGGAACACCGCCACAGCAACCAGCUAUGUAAACCUCCACGGAGGGAGACGAGACGCCUAGCUUCGGCCUGAAAAACGCAGAGGAGGAGGAAGAGCCCGAACCGUUUCUCAUAGCCACGUAACAAUCCAUGCCCCACCCAGUCUUGGCAUCGCUCACCGUUCCGUUAUUACUCCACGCGCCUUCGAUUCUAUCUAGGUUCCCGCACAGGACCAUUUCCUCCUUAUCGUACACCUCGAAAUCGACGCACCCCGUGACGCGCACCGCCUCCGUGCUGACGUAAGUCACCUCCGACGAUUCCCGGUCCACUCUGUCGCGUCGGAGUUUUAGAGACGCCGU